rnacentral:snRNA from 1 species
UUACUUACCUUGUAGGGAAGCUAUCAUGAUCACGAAGGUGGUCUCCCUAAGGUGAGGCUCACCCAUUGCACUCCUGCUGUGCUGAUUCCCAAUUUCUCCAAAUGUGGGAAAUUCAACUGCAUAAUUUGUGGUAGUGGGGGACUGCACUCACAUUCUCCCU